rnacentral:tRNA from 2 species
AGUCAGGAUGGCCGAGUGGUCUAAGGCGCCAGACUCAAGUUCUGGUCUUCGAGAGAGGGCGUGGGUUCAAAUCCCACUUCUGACAA